rnacentral:rRNA from 1 species
GCGACCUCAGCUCAGGCGGGGCUACCCGCUGA